rnacentral:rRNA from 1 species
UAGGAAGUGAAUAAGAGCGUAUGGCGAAUGCCUAGGCUCUCGGAGACGACGAAGGACGUGGUAAGCUGCGAAAAGCUAUGGGGAGGUGCAAACAACCUUUGAUCCAUAGAUGUCCGAAUGGGGAAACCCCACAUUUUGAAGAAAUGUGAUUGCGCAAGCAAAGAAAACCCAGGGAACUGAAACAUCUAAGUACCUGGAGGAAAGGAGAACAAUUAGUGAUUCCGCAAGUAGUGGCGAGCGAACGCGGAAAAGCCCUAAAGUCUAUAUAUAAGGAGUAGAACAUGAUGGGAAUCAUGACCAUAGAAGGUGAAAGUCCUGUAAGCGAAGAUAUAUAUAGAUGAAACGAGUAAGGCGGAACCGGAGAAAUUCUGUCUGAAUAUAGCUGCACCAUCAGCUAAGGCUAAAUACUCCCGAGAGACCGAUAGUGAACUAGUACUGUGAAGGAAAGGUGAAAAGAACCCUAAAAAAGGGAGUGAAAAGAUCCUGAAACCGUACGCUUACAAGCGGUCGGAGCACUUCGGUGUGACGGCGUGCCUUUUGCAUAAUGAGCCUACGAGUUACUCCUCACUAGCAAGCUUAAGUACUUUAGGUACGGAGGCGCAGCGAAAGCGAGUCUGAAUAGGGCGAUUAAGUUAGUGGGGGUAGACGCGAAACCUGGUGAUCUACCCAUGGGCAGGUUGAAGCUUCGAUAGUAUCGAAGUGGAGGACCGAACCGGUAUAUGUUGAAAAAUGUUCGGAUGA